GAUACAAGCAGAGGUUUGACAGGCACUGGUGCAUCGGGGCUUGCUCCCUCUUGCUGCUGGGACCCCUUCUGCUAUCACAGGAAGAAGUCUGGGCUAGUCUACUGGAAGGUGAGACCAGGGGGAGCAAAGACAAGUCAGGCCUGCUGAGUUCCACUAGUUCCCAGUUAUUCUCAACCAAAGGACAACUUGGUCCUCCAGGGAAGAUCUGGUAAUGACUGGAGAUAUUUUUGGCUGUCCUACUGGCAUCUAGUGGGCAGAGGUCAGAGAUGCUGCUACACAUCUUAUAAUGUGCGGGACAGUCCCCCCAUAACAAAGAGUUACCCGGUCCCAAAUGUCAGCAGUGCUGAGGUUGAAAAACCUGCCCAUGAGCAACCAACCCACAGCUGACCUCCCAGCUGACUGCAGCCCUGUGAGUGAACCCAGUCUGUGAGGCUGAGACCUGGAGGAUCAGGAGGAGUUCAUCGAGGGUAGGGUGCAGAGCAUGCUGAAUGGCCUGUGCAGGGGCUGGAGGAGAGACAGCAUGGGCUCAAUGCAAGUGGUUCAGCAGCAGCUCAAAGGCCAUGAGCAGAAUCUGGAAAGGCAAGAGAGGAGGCCAGAGAAGCGAGCAGGGGCCAGAACUCCAGACGAAUUCAACUGCUUCCUGAGGACAGUAGGAUAUAAUUAGAACCUUUAAUUUAAGCAAGCAACCUGCAUACCUGAGCCACGAGGCUACAGUUCCCAAAAACAACUAUGCCAAAAGAAACUGUUCUUUGCAUCUAUCUCCAGAGUGCUUAUCACUGUAGCACAACUACACCAUUUGUUCUUGAGCCAUUGAUAUAAAUUGUUUGAUACCAAACCUGGCACAGAACAAUGGUCAAUGAUGUUGGUGAACCCAGUUGAUUAAUUCUGGCUCCACUCUUGGCACAGUUCUUUUCCUUCCUCCUGUUCUAGAAAGCUCCCAGUUUCCGCUGCUGCUUUGGGAGGUCAUUAGCAACUGUUUGUUGACUGGCCCUCAAGAACAGAACAUGUCAUAGGAAGUUAUGUGACAGACAGAUCCUAACCUGGACUGGUGUGUAGUUUCAAUACUUUGGGCAAACUAUUUACCUAAUAAUGGGUGUCUACAAAAACAACAA
rnacentral:lncRNA from 1 species